UACGAAGGGGGCUAGCGUUGUUCGGAUUUACUGGGCGUAAAGCGCGCGUAGGCGGAUCGUUAAGUCGGGGGUGAAAUCCUGGAGCUCAACUCCAGAACUGCCUUCGAUACUGGCGAUCUCGAGUCCGGAAGAGGUGAGUGGAACUCCUAGUGUAGAGGUGGAAUUCGUAGAUAUUAGGAAGAACACCAGUGGCGAAGGCGGCCAUCC
rnacentral:rRNA from 1 species